CAAAAUGUAGCUUAACAUAAAGCAUUUAGCUUACACCUAAAAGAUUUCAGAUAACCUGACCAUUUUGA
rnacentral:tRNA from 1 species